AAAGAUAGCGUUGUAUUGUUUAAGCGUCUCGAGUGAUUCAUUAUUUUUUGUCAAAAAAUGCCGUCUUGUGUUAUUAAACAUUGUAAAAGUUGUUCCCAAAAACAAAAAAAGAGGAUGGAAUUUUAUUUCACAGAUUGCCGACAGAUGUUGUGCUACGGAAUGGGUUUCUAUUAUUCGCCAAAGCAGGCAAGACAAUAAUUGGCAGGCAUCAAAAUUUUGCGUUGUGUGUUCAUUACAUUUUAAAGAAGAUGGCUUAUGCUUUACCGAAAAAUGUCGUAGGUUGAUAAAAAAAAAUUCCAAUGUAAUUAUUUGUAAUACUAUCUAAUCUUUUGGUCUAGUCUUUAAAUUGUCUGUAUAUCGAUGUAUGUGGGUGUGUGAAUAAAUGAUGAUGAUGAUUAUUA